rnacentral:rRNA from 1 species
UACGAAGGGGGCUAGCGUUGCUCGGAAUUACUGGGCGUAAAGCGCACGUGGGCGGACUCUUAAGUCGGUGGUGAAAUCCUGGAGCUCAACUCCAGAACUGCCUUCGAAACUGGGAGUCUUGAGUUCGGGAGAGGUGAGUGGAACUGCGAGUGUAGAGGUGAAAUUCGUAGAUAUUCGCAAGAACACCAGUGGCGAAGGCGGCUCACUGGCCCGAUACUGACGCUGAGGUGCGAAAGCGUGGGGAGCAAACAGG